AAAUAAUAUCAAUGAGAGUCAUUCAACAAGAUGAUUUAAAGUUCUACCUCUGGCGUGAAUAUAUUAUGUAAUGUGUCUAUUGUGUGGGAGUGUCAGAAAACAAAUUCCUUCCUGAGGGGAGAGGCCAUGAACACAUUCUGCUGCAGGUGUAACUCGCAGCCAACUUUAACGAGUAUGUCGUCACAUCUGGCGUACCAACCUGUGCUGCCCAGUGGGAACAAGUACCUUCAGCAGAAAUGGGACCAGAUUUGUUAUGAUUUAC